GCAAGCGUUAUCCGGAAUUAUUGGGCGUAAAGCGCGCGUAGGCGGUUUUUAAGUCUGAUGUGAAAGCCCACGGCUCAACCGUGGAGGGUCAUUGGAAACUGGAAAACUUGAGUGCAGAAGAGGAAAGUGGAACUCCAUGUGUAGCGGUGAAAUGCGCAGAGAUAUGGAGGAACACCAGUGGCGAAGGCGACUUUCUGGUCUGUAACUGACGCUGAUGUGCGAAAGCGUGGGGAUCAGACAGGAUUAGAUACCCUGGUAGUCAAGGGCG
rnacentral:rRNA from 1 species